GUGUGUGUGAGUGGGGAUGUAUGUGUGGGUGGGUGGGGGAGGCUCCACAAUACACACACAACUCUUUUAGACAGAGUGGAGUCAAAGGCUCUUCGUCUCAUCAACUCUCCUCCUCUUACUCACAGUCCUCUAAGUUCUAACUGAUCUUAAACUUAAAGUGUUGCCUCUCCUUCCGCCUUCUACCGAUAUUUGCAUGCUGACUGCUCUUCUGAACUUGCUCUGCACACGAAUUUCUACUCUGGUUCACCCCUAUAUACGGUACUGUCCAAAUCCCUUAUGCAAGAGUUAACCAGCAUCUUCAUUCUUUCGCCCCUUUCGCUGGUAAAAACUUAACUUGGUCCACAUGAAUUUCUGCUGUGGCUCACCCCUAUGCUGUCCAAAUCCCUUAUGCAAGAGUUUACCAGCAUCUUCAUUCUUUCGCUGGUAAAAACUUAACUUGGUCCACACGAAUUUCUGCUGUGGCUCACCCCUAUGCUGUCCAAAUCCCUUAUGCAAGAGUUUACCAGCAUCUACAUUCUUUCAUUCCUUCCGCUGGUAAACUCAUGCUUUUUACAUUUUCCUUUUCUUCUUCUUCUUCUUCUUCUUCUCCUAUUCUUCUUCUCCUCCUUUUUCUUGUUCUUGUUCUUGUUCUUCUUCUUCUUCUUCUUCUUCUGCCAGAGCUUAUAUUACAUCAAUUUUCUUUCUCCUUUCCCUUCCUUUCCUCUCCUUCCCUUAUUCCUUUAUUCACUUGAAGGUGGUGGUGGUGGUGGAGGGAAUGCUGGUCACGCUACCCCUUCCAACCCCCUUCCUCCUUCCCCCCAUACAGCUGGUGAAGGAUCUAAGGAAGCGGUUAAUGGGCUAGAGGGGUUUUCAAUGCCAUAUAAUCCAUUCUGAGAGUCGCUUCUGCUACGGAUGGUGAAGAGGGAAGAGGGAGAUGCUGGCCUCCUCCCCCGUAUCUCCCCUUCACUAUACAUGCAGCUGGUGGGGGAUUUGAAAGGAACUGGUUAAGGAAUGGAGUGGUCGUCUAACUCGUCUUUGCUGGUGUACAUUUUAUUAUGAGAGUCACUUCUGCUUCCUCACUCUGGCUUACCCAUAGUGAAGCAAGUGGUUUAAUUAGUUGACCGUAUGUCUAACCUCACAUAGCUCGAAUGGGAAGGAGUGAAGGAGCCCAAGUAAACAUAGACUUUCGUGGAGGAUUUGGGCAUUUCGAGGGGUAGUUUUGUGGCCGUGAUGGUAGUCUGACCCUUCUUCUGUGCCCAGUAAACCUAUUCGACUGGAUUUUCGUAGGAACUUUGGGCAUUUCCAGGGGUAGUUUUGUGGCCGUGAUGGUAGUUUGACCCUUCUCCUGUGCCCAGUAAACCUAUUCGACUGUGUUUUCGUAGGAACUUUGGGCAUUUCGAGGUGUAGUUUUGUGGCCCUGAUGGUAGUUUGACCCUUCUCCUGUGCCCAGUAAACCUAUUCGACUGGAUUUUCGUAGGAACUUUGGGCAUUUCGAGGUGUAGUUUUGUGGCCCUGAUGGUAGUUUGACCCUUCUCCUGUGCCCAGUAAACCUAUUCGACUGUAUUUUCGUAGGAACUUUGGGCAUUUCCAGGGGUAGUUUUGUGGCCCUGAUGGUAGUUUGACCCUUCUCCUGUGCCAAGUAAACCUAUUCGACUGGAUCUUCGUAGGAACUUUGGGCAUUUCGAGGGGUAGUUUUGUGGCCGUGAUGGUAGUUUGACCCUUCUGAGGACCAUGAACUUAAAAGACAACUCAUUAGAACCCGAAUGAUCUCCUUUUGCCCUUUGGGAGUAGUUGGUGAGAGAGUCGGAAGAGUUUAUCAGCAUUUUCAUUCUGUCGUCCCUACCUUCGUCUGUAUUUCCUCCUGCCUACGACUUGAACUCUUUCCCGAGAAUCCCAACUCUUUUUGUAUCGUGAAUGGACUCAACAUAAUCAUCUUACCUGCCUCCUCCUCCUCCUCCUCCUCUUCCUCCUCCUCAUCAUCAUCUUCUCUCCUCCCCCCCCC